UUCUCUCCUCUUCUUAGCGUUUCUGUUGCAAGAAUAUGUACAAGAUUGUUUGCAGAUCUUGGUGUAUGUUGAAAUUUGAUAUUAUUUAGUCCAUGUAUUUUCUGUUGGAUGUCAUAAAUGUAUGUCCCUACCAUUGAUCGAUCUUAACCUUUUAUGCUACAUUUCUUGAUUAUUGCGAGGGAAUCUCCUUCAAAAUGAGUGAUUGCCAUCCCUUUUCGAUUCCUACUUGGAUUGCUUUCCAACAGGCUAUGGCUUCAGCAACAAAAGCAGAUGAUACGUCAUUGUGGAUUUCUAAACAGGAUAAAAGGACUUUUCCUUCCGAAUCUCUGGCCACAAUACCUGAAGCUGACCGGUUCUGGCUCUCCUUAUAUGCACCGUCAAAAUUGAUCUUGAUAAACUCCCACUGUGGUGCACAACAGAAAAAUCAACCUUGACAAGGGUUGAGCUGCUCUAUCACCCAGGGCAUUCUCGAAAUAAAUGGUUUAUUGUUUCAUCUCUUUUUCCACAUCGAGGACAACUUACAUUGACUGCUAGCUUCCUGUGUUGCAAAUUUACCUUCGUAGGCAGAUAGUUCCAUGACAGUCUCCAUAUUGUAACUUUUACUUUAUUUGGUAGAUUCAGGCUCCAAAGUUGUUUAUAAUUUUUUUUGUAGAUGGUUUGUAAAGCAUAAGCUCUAGGAUUUUCAUCUGAUCUCUGUAAUAGUUUAUAAGCACUUCGGACCGUGAAUUCACCCGACAUCUCACUUCCCCAAAUAAGAAAAUCUUCAUGAGGUGUUCAUGCCAGAGGGAUUCGGAGGAUUCUUGCAGUGUCUUAUUCUG